GUAGUAUUAUCCCCGUUUUACUAAUGAGGAACCUGAAGCUCGGAUAGAGUAGGCUGGAGAGGAUGAGGAGAGGGGACCCUCAGAAUGGCUGCAGUUUAAACACAUCAAACGGACAUGGUCCUCCCUCUGGAAGGAGAGCCCUGACUCAGUCGCAGCAUUAAUGGCCAGGCUGGGGCAACACACAGGUAUCAAGGCUGAGAAGACAGCUUUCUGAUGAUGCAGCCGACCCUGCUUCCGACUAGGGGGUGAUCCCCUUCAG